CUUCCUCUAAGAUGGGUAUAACAUUCCGAAAGGAUUGCUAAUCCCCGAUGUGUCCCUUUGAAGGCAUCUUCAAAGGGUUAAAGAUGGCCUCUAUUUAUAUGCUGUCGCUUAGAGAUGAGCCCGCGUCCCAUCAGCUUGAUGGUAGGGUAAAAGCCUACCAUGGCAUUUGACGGGUAGCUGGUCUGAGAGGAUGGUCAGCCACACUGGAACUGAGACACGGUCCAG
rnacentral:rRNA from 1 species